AACGUAGGAGACGAGCGUUAUCCGGAUUUACUGGGCGUAAAGCGCGUGUAGGCGGUUCGGCAAGUUGGAUGUGAAAUCUCCCGGCUCAACUGGGAGGGGUCGUUCAAUACUACCGGACUUGAGAGCAGUAGAGGAAGGUGGAAUUCCCGGUGUAGUGGUGAAAUGCGUAGAUAUCGGGAGGAACACCAGUGGCGAAAGCGGCCUUCUGGACUGUUUCUGACGCUCAGACGCGAAAGCUAGGGUAGCGAACGGG
rnacentral:rRNA from 1 species